UACGUAGGGGGCAAGCGUUGUCCGGAUUUAUUGGGCGUAAAGAGCGUGUAGGCGGCUAGAUAGGUCCGUUGUGAAAACUCGAGGUCACCACCACGAGCGUCGAUGGAAACCAUCUGGCUAGAGUCCGGAAGAGGAGAGUGGAAUUCCUGGUGUAGCGGUGAAAUGCGUAGAUAUUGGGAGGAACACCAGUGGCGAAGGCGGCUCACUGGACCGGUACUGACGCUGAGGCGCGAAAGCGUGGGGAGCAAACAGG
rnacentral:rRNA from 1 species